rnacentral:rRNA from 1 species
ACAUCCAGCGAACUUGGCAGAGAUGCCUUGGUGCCUUCGGGAACGCUGAGACAGGUGCUGCAUGGCUGUCGUCAGCUCGUGUUGUGAAAUGUUGGGUUAAGUCCCGNAACGAGCGCAACCCUUAUCCUUUGUUGCCAGCGAUUCGGUCGGGAACUCAAAGGAGACUGCCGGUGAUAAACCGGAGGAAGGUGGGGAUGACGUCAAGUCAUCAUGGCCCUUACGAGUAGGGCUACACACGUGCUACAAUGGCGCAUACAAAGAGAAGCGACCUCGCGAGAGCAAGCGGACCUCAUAAAGUGCGUCGUAGUCCGGAUCGGAGUCUGCAACUCGACUCCGUGAAGUCGGAAUCGCUAGUAAUCGUGGAUCAGAAUGCCACGGUGAAUACGUUCCCGGGCCUUGUACACACCGCCCGUCACACCAUGGGAGUGGGUUGCAAAAGAAGUAGGUAGCUUAACCUCCGGGAGGGCGCUUACCACCUUGUGAUUCAUGACUGGGGUGAAGUCGUAACAAGGUAAGCGUAGCGAG